rnacentral:rRNA from 1 species
GAUCCUGGCUCAGGAUGAACGCUAGCUACAGGCUUAACACAUGCAAGUCGAACGAAGAGCGAUGGAAGCUUGCUUCUAUCAAUCUUAGUGGCGAACGGGUGAGUAACGCGUAAUCAACCUGCCCUUCAGAGGGGGACAACAGUUGGAAACGACUGCUAAUACCGCAUACGAUCCAACCUCGGCAUCGAGGAUGGAUGAAAGGUGGCCUCUAUUUAUAAGCUAUCACUGAAGG